rnacentral:rRNA from 1 species
ACGAACCGUACGAACGUUAUUCGGAAUUACUGGGCUUAAAGGGUGCGUAGGCUGCACGGAAAGUUGGGUGUGAAAGCCCUCAGCUCAACUGAGGAAUUGCAUCCAAAACUGCCGUGCUUGAGGGAGACAGAGGUGAGCGGAACUCAAGGUGGAGCGGUGAAAUGCGUUGAUAUCUUGAGGAACACCGGUGGCGAAAGCGGCUCACUGGGUCUCUUCUGACGCUGAGGCACGAAAGCUAAGGUAGCAAACGGG